AAAUCAUGGUGUGGACAUCUUCAUUGUAACUCCCGAUAACGCUCCCAAACUGCAUAUAUUGUCUCUCCUUCUUGUUGAGAGAAACUAGUUAUAUCCAUAUGAAACU